GACUAACGUUGGCGGCGUGCGUAAUACAUGCAAGUCGAGCGGGGUGGUAGCAAUACCAUCAAGCGGCGAACGGGUGAGUAACACGUGGAUGAUCUACCUUCAAGAUCGGGACAACUGACCGAAAGGUUAGCUAAUACCGGGUAUGACCACGGCCAGUAUCAUCUGGCUGAGGUAAGAGCAGGGGACCGCAAGGCCUUGCGCUUGAAGAUGAGUCCGCGGCUGAUUAGCUAGUUGGCGGGGUAAUGGCCCACCAAGGCGACGAUCAGUAGCCGGCCUGAGAGGGUGACCGGCCACACUGGGACUGAGACACGGCCCAGACUCCUACGGGAGGCAGCAGUAGGGAAUUUUCCACAAUGGGCGAAAGCCUGAUGGAGCAACGCCGCGUGAGGGAUGAAGCAUUUCGGUGUGUAAACCUCUUUGGAGCGGGAAGAAUGCCGUUCGGGUUAACAGUCCGGACGGGUGACGGUACCGCUAGAACAAGACACGGCUAACUUCGUGCCAGCAGCCGCGGUAAU
rnacentral:rRNA from 1 species